AUACGGUAGGGGGCGAGCGUUGCUCGGAUUGACUGGGCGUAAAGCGCGCGUAGGCGGUCCAUUAAGUGUGCGGUGAAAUUCAGAGGCUCAACCUCUGUCCCGCCGCGCAAACUGGUGGUCUUGAGAUUGGGAGGGGGAUGCGGAAUUCCUGGUGUAGCGGUGAAAUGCAUUGAUAUCAGGAGGAACACCGGCGGCGAAAGCGGCAUCCUGGCUUAUAUCUGACGCUGAGGCGCGAAAGCGUGGGUAGC
rnacentral:rRNA from 1 species